rnacentral:rRNA from 1 species
UACGAAGGGGGCUAGCGUUGUUCGGAAUUACUGGCGUAAAGCGCACGUAGGCGGACUACUAAGUCAGGGGUGAAAUCCCGGGCUCAACCCGGAACUGCCUUUGAUACUGAUAGUCUCGAGUCCGGAAGAGGUGAGUGGAACUGCGAGUGUAGAGGUGAAAUUCGUAGAUAUUCGCAAGAACACCAGUGGCGAAGGCGGCUCACUGGCCCGGUACUGACGCUGAGGUGCGAAAGCGUGGGGAGCAACAGGG